rnacentral:rRNA from 1 species
CACGUAGGCGGCCGUUUAAGUCAUCUGUGAAAGCCCGGGGCUCAACUCCGGGACUGCAGGCGAAACUGGAUGGCUAGAGCUCGGUAGAGGCGAGUGGAAUUCCCGGUGUAGCGGUGGAAUGCGUAGAUAUCGGGAAGAACACCAGUGGCGAAGGCGGCUCGCUGGGCCGAUGCUGACGCUGAGGUGCGAAAGCGUGGGGAGCAAACA